UACGGAGGGGGCGAGCGUUGUCCGAAGUUACUGGGCGUAAAGCGCGCGCAGGCGGCCUCGCGCGCCCGACGUGAAAGCCCCCGGCUUAACCGGGGAGGGUCGUUGGGGACGGCGGGGCUUGAGGGCGGGAGAGGUCGGUGGAAUUCCCGGUGUAGUGGUGAAAUGCGUAGAGAUCGGGAGGAACACCUGUGGCGAAGGCGGCCGACUGGGCCGACCCUGACGCUGAGGCGCGAAGGCGUGGGGGAGCAAACGGGG
rnacentral:rRNA from 1 species